GUCAGCCAGUGGCACCAGGAGCUGGGGUAGGGCCUCUCAGGAGCUGUAUCUGGCCAGCCAUGCUUUCUUCUCAUUGCCAUCAAGAGGGCCCGAGUUUGGUUCCUAGUACCUAUGUCAGAUGGCACACGACCACCUGUAACUCCAACUCCAGAAGAUCCAGCGCCCUCUUCUGGCCUCCGUGGGCAUCAACACACAGUCACAGGUGUCUGCCAGGAAUCUAAAGUCCUCCGGCUGCUACCUUCUUCAUCGUGUGAGCUGCUUCUCUCUUACAAAGACACCAGGGUGGCUGCUGGUGCGGCCACAGCACUCUCCUAGCUGUUUAACACCUUGGGUCCAGUUCCUACGACUGAAGGAAGAAAAGAGAAAAAGCUGCCAGACGUAUUAAAGGUUCAACCUCCUCCGGUCUGUCAUCACUGGAGGACUAAUUCUAUC